AUUGAACGCUGGCGGCAUGCUUUACACAUGCAAGUCGAACGGUAAUAGGGUAACCUGACGAGUGGCGAACGGGUCAGUAAUGCAUCGGAACGUGCCCGGCCGUGGGGGAUAACGCAGCGAAAGCUGCGCAAACACCGCAUACGACCUAAGGAUGAACACGGGGGACAGUCAAGCACCGCACGAUCGGCGCGGCCGGUGGCAAAUUAGGUAGUUGGUGGGGUAAAGGCUCACCAAGGAGACGAUCUGUAGCUGGUCUGAGAGGACGACUCGGCCUCACUGGGACUGAGACACGGCCCAGACUCCUACGGGAGGCAGCAGUGGGGAAUUUUGCACAAUGGGCGGAAGCCUGAUCCAGCAAUGCCGCGUGCAGGAAGAAGGCCUUCGGGUUGUAAACUGCUUUUGUUCGGGGCGAAAAGGUCUCCUCUAAUACGGGGGGCUCAUGACGGUACCUUAAGAAUAAGCACCGGCUAACUACGUGCCAGCAGCCGCCGUAA
rnacentral:rRNA from 1 species